CGUAGGUGGCGAGCGUUGUCCGGAUUACUGGGUGUAAGGGAGCGCAGGCGGGAGCAAGUCAGCUGUGAAUAUACGGGCUUAACUCGUAAUUGCAGUUGAAACUGUUCUUCUUGAGUGAAGUAGAGGUAGGCGGAAUUCCGAGUGUAGCGGUGAAAUGCGUAGAGAUUCGGAGGAACACCAGUGGCGAAGGCGGCCUACUGGGCUUUAACUGACGCUGAGGCUCGAAAGUGUGGGAGCAAACAGGAUU
rnacentral:rRNA from 1 species